GUCUGGCUGGCUCAGUUGGAAGAGCAUGUGACUCUUGAUCUUAGGGUCAUGAGUUUGACCCCAUGUUAGGUA
rnacentral:tRNA from 1 species